AGUGAACGCGGGCGGUAGGGCUAACACAUGCAAGUCGAACGGCAGCACAGGAGAGCUUGCUCCCUGGGUGGCGAGUGGCGGACGGGUGAGGAAUACAUCGGAAUCUACUCUGUCGUGGGGGAUAACGUAGGGAAACUUACGCUAAUACCGCAUACGACCUACGGGUGAAAGCAGGGGACCUUCGGGCCUUGCGCGAUUGAAUGAGCCGAUGUCGGAUUAGGUAGUUGGCGGGGUAAAGGCCCACCAAGGCGACGGUCCGUAGGUGGUAUGAGAGGAUGAUCAGCCACACUGGAAGUGAGACACGGUCCAGACUCCUACGGGAGGCAGCAGUGGGGAAUAGUGGACAAUGGGCGCAAGUGCGACCCAGCCAUACGCCGUGGGUGAAGAAGGCCUUCGGGUUGUAAAGCCCUUUGGGGGGGAAAGAAAUCCAGCUGGCUAAUACCCGGUUGGGAUGACGGUACCCAAAGAAUAAGCACCGGCUAACUUCGUGCCAGCCGCCGCAGUAA
rnacentral:rRNA from 1 species